UGAAAAAGAACCUGAAACCGUGUACGUACAAGCAGUGGGAGCACCCUGGGUGUGACUGCGUACCUUUUGUAUAAUGGGUCAGCGACUUAUAUUCUGUAGCAAGGUUAACCGAAUAGGGGAGCCGGAGGGAAACCGAGUCUUAAUUGGGCGUUAAGUUGCAGGGUAUAGACCCGAAACCCGGUGAUCUAGCCAUGGGCAGGUUGAAGGUUGGGUAACACUAACUGGAGGACCGAACCGACUAAUGUUGAAAAA
rnacentral:rRNA from 1 species